rnacentral:rRNA from 1 species
AUUGAACGCUGGCGGCAGGCCUAACACAUGCAAGUCGAACGGUCACAGGAAGAAGCUUGCUUCUUUGCUUACGCGUGGCAGACGGGUGAGUAAUGUCUGGGAAACUGCUUGAUGGAUGGGGAUAACUACUGGAAACGGUAGUUAUUACCGCAUAAAGUCUCAAGACCAUAGAGGGGGACCUUCGGGCGUCUUGCCUUCGGCUGUGCCCAGAAGGGAUUAGCUAGUAGGUGGGGUAACGGCUCACCUAGGCGACGAUCCCUAGCUGGUCUGAGAGGAUGACCAGCCACACUGGAACUGAGACACGGUCCAGACUCCUACGGGAGGCAGCAGUGGGGAAUAUUGCACAAUGGGCGCAAGCCUGAUGCAGCAAUGCCGCGUGUAUGAAGAAGGCCUUCGGAUUGUAAAAUUCUUUCAGCGGGGAGGAAGGAAGUAGUAUGAAUAUCUUUACUCAUUGACGUUACCCGCAGAAAAAGCACCGGCUAACUCCGUG